rnacentral:rRNA from 1 species
GGAGUUAGCCGGUGCUUCUUCUGUGAGUGAUGUCCUUCCUGCCGGCUAUUAACCCGCAGGCCUUCUUCCUCACUGAAAGUGCUUUACAACCCGAAGGCCUUCUUCACACACGCGGCAUGGCUGGAUCAGGGUUGCCCCCAUUGUCCAAUAUUCCCCACUGCUGCCUCCCGUAGGAGUCUGGGCCGUGUCUCAGUCCCAGUGUGGCUGAUCAUCCUCUCAGACCAGCUACGGAUCGUCGCCUUGGUGAGCCGUUACCUCACCAACCAGCUAAUCCGACAUAGGCUCAUCCGAUAGCGCGAGGCCCGAAGGUCCCCCGCUUUCCCCCGUAGGGCGUAUGCGGUAUUAGCCUGGGUUUCCCCAGGUUAUCCCCCACUACCGGGCAGAUUCCUAUGCAUUACUCACCCGUCCGCCGCUCGCCACCAGGGAGAAAGCUCCCCGUGCUGCCGCUCGACUUGCAUGUGUUAGGCCUGCCGCCAGCGUUCAAUCUGAGCCAUGAUCAAACUCUGA